UCGGGUGACAGGGAGACAGGUGGUGCAUGGUUGUCGUCAGCUCGUGUCGUGAGAUGUUGGGUUAAGUCCCGCAACGAGCGCAACCCCUACGUUUAGUUGCUAACGCGUGAAGGCGAGCACUCUAGACGAACUGCCGUUGACAAAACGGAGGAAGGUGGGAUGACGUCAAAUCAUCAUGCCCCUUAUGUUCUGGGCUACACACGUGCUACAAUGGCCGGUACAGACGGAGGCGAAGCCGCGAGGCGGAGCAAAUCCGAAAAAGCCGGUCUCAGUUCGGAUUGCAGGCUGCAAUUCGCCUGCAUGAAGUCGGAAUCGCUAGUAAUCGCAGGUCAGCAUACUGCGGUGAAUACGUUCCCGGGCCUU
rnacentral:rRNA from 1 species